ensembl:snRNA U6 U6 spliceosomal RNA
GUGCUCGUUUUGGCACCACAUAUACUAAAAUUGGAAUGAUACAGAGAAGGUUAGCAUGGCCUCUGUGCAGAGAUACACAAAUUUGUGAAAACUGUCUCUCUCUU